UAAGGACCAGGAGAAGUACAGGCAGAGAGGUGCACCCAAAGCCAAACAGGGAGACCCAGCGGUCGCCCCAAAAAGCGGGAAGCGGCUGCUCCUCAAGGAAGAGAA